rnacentral:lncRNA from 1 species
GCUGGGCAACUGCACCGCCUCACAGGGAAUUGGAAGAAUCUGGGAGCAUGGCUGAUGUUAAAGACAAUGAGCAUAAAGUGAUAAAAUCCCUGAGCGAUAUGUGGGAAGUUCAGCACACGAUUGAUCCUCGUGCGCCGGACUUAAUUACCUCGGAGAGCAUGCUCCAGAAACCAUCAUGGCCCCGUCUCUCGUUUACUGCAGAAGCAUUGCUACAGCAACAGGAAUCUAAAAUAUAUGAAAGUGCUAGUGCUUUAUCCUUAGCAACGUUCGCAUCACUAUUGAUUGAGUUUGUUGCAAGGCUCCAAAAUCUCGUGGAUGCAUUUCAAGAGCUUAGUGAGAAAGCAAAUUUCAAGGUUCCUGUGGACCAAUCACCUCAAAAGGAGGCUCCAGGAUUUUGGAGAAGAUUAAGAAAUUGCUUUCAGUCAAAGAACUAAAUUCUAUAAAAGAAGACAAAAUGACAAAAGAAAAAAAAAGAAAAAGAGAGUGUGUUUUGGAACAUAUAUUUUGGGCUUUUUUGGAAUUAAGUAGGUUCAAAUACAGUUGUUAAGGGAGACAAAAGCUUUUAGAUUGAUUUCUACACUGUUGUAACUUUCCAGAUGCAUUAAAUUUGCAUUGAUGGGAAAGAACCUUCAUAUAGAAAGGCAAAGGGUGAGCUUGGAAACUGAAAUUAUCUUGCACAAAGCUUCUUUUCUUCAAGUUAUUUAUUAAAUAUGUUAAUGGUAAAGCACAGUAAUUGAAGUUUCUGAAGGAAUACAUGGAGAACUGAAAAAACAACAUCCUUUCCUUUCUGAUGGUAAUAAAAGUUCUAUCUAUCUCCAGCUUCGAUCUUUCUCUUUAUCCAAUCAACUCGUUUUCUGAUGUUUCUAGUGCGGGGGAUCUAUUUAUGCGGAAUGAAUGAAUAUAAUUAUUACAUUCCUAAUUUGUUAUAAUAUCAAUUAAUAUAAAAAAUCCAUGAAAAAGUAUAAAUAUAUAUAAACCGAUUUGUUGCGUAGUCAUAUCAAUUACAAAAUAUAAUUAUUUGCUACAAUGCGGACCUUAAAUCUAUUGCUAUGUGUCUUUAAUAAAUAUUUAAAUAAAUAAAAUUUUUUAAUAAUAUGAUCAUAUCUAUUUCUUUUGAUACAAUCUUUAUAACUACUCGUAGCCUUUCUUAAUCUAUAAAUAGGUGGAUAAUGCACUUCAGCGCACUAAAACCUAUUUCCUCUUGCAUUGAUAGUAAUAUACAUACAAUUGAGCUAUAUUAAAAUAAAUAAUUAGGAAGAAAUGAUGGUGGGUUAAGGUGGAUUAUGAAGAAAAUAAUCCACUACCAAUAAUAAUUGAGUUUAAAAGAAAUGAUGAGGUUAAAAACUUUUGGAGGGCCGAAAUAAUAAUUUACCUAUUUCCCCUUCUUCUAUUGGCCCAAAAUCCUCAUUAGUUGGGCUUCGGACGUUUUUGUAAAUGAAAAUAGUUCAUGAGCAAUUGAUAUGAUUCCCAUCACUUCUUUUUAAGAAAAGGAAGAAAUAAAUACAUACAAACAAACGAAAAUACAAAACAUUUCAUUUCUCUUACUUUCUGUUUAUUGGGAAACAGCCGGCGGGAAGGCGUCGAGAUCGGUAACAUUACCUCUCCCCAUUUCUUAGUUUCAUCCCCCUUAGCUAACAUUUUCAUAAAUAACCAUUGGUUCUUUUAGUUAUUAAUUUGGAAUUUUAUCAACCUCCUUCGUCAAUGUUGUUAUCUCCCGAUCUUAGGUGCCGGGUAUUUUCAAAUUUUAAAUUCGUAUUCAAUUUUCCUUGCUUUUCUUUUCUUUACAUCCAAACAAGGCCGUGGUUUUUUAAUUUUUUCCCCUCCUCCAUGUUUAUUUUUGGUUUGUUUACUUUCUGGUGUUGCAUUCCAGUGUUUGUUUGAGAUAUUGUUCUUUGAAGUGAGCUGUUUAUCAACUUUUAUCUGCGUUAACUGCUUGUAAGAUCUAUGAAUACGAUAACAUCACUAAAAAAGUAUUAUUGAAUCUUGAGAUGUUAAGGAUCAAAAGAUGGGACACUAUUACUGUAUAUUUGUAAUUAACGAUAGGUUACGGGUUUUCUUUUCUGUACUAUUGCAGGUAUAACUAGUUAAUUGAAGCUUCCAGACUUUGAAAAAAUAUGUCUAAAUAGCUGUCCUGAUAGAUGAGCUAAAAAAUGAUGACAUCCAGCUUCGUUUAAACUCAAUCCGUAGGCUUUCAACCAUUGCUCGUGCUCUUGGGGAAGAGCGAACCAGGAAGGAAUUAAUUCCUUUUCUGAGUGAAAACAAUGACGAUGAUAAUGAGGUGCUUCUUGCAAUGGCUGAGGAGCUGGGAGUGUUUAUUCCCUAUGUUGGGGGUGUUGAACAUGCCCAUGUUUUGCUGGCCCCUUUGGAAACCCUUUGCAUUGUUGAGGAAACCUGUGUAAGGGACAAAGCUGUCGAGUCAUUAUGCAGAAUUGGAUCUCAGAUGAAGGAGAAUGACUUGGUUGACUGGUUUGUUCCUCUAGUUAAGGUUAGAUGUUCUGUUAUUUUCAAUAUUUAUAUUAAUGCCAUUGUUUUUCAAUACUGUUUAGUGAUAUUUAGCUGCUGUGCACAAAGCUAUAAAUUUGAGCUUAUUAGAUACUUAUUUUAUAUGCCAAAAGCUGUUAAUCAGGUUGUAGUAACUGCAAACAAUGAAUUUUAAGAGCUCAACUUUCAACAACUUAUGAACAUUGCUAAUAUAAAGGACAGUGAAAACAUUAACAGAAAGGAAUUUAAGUAGUAAGGAUAACAUGGUUUAUGCACCCUAAACUUGGUAGCCAUAUUUCUGUUUUUGAUGUUUUAUUUGUUUAUUUUAAAUCUUCAGAGGCUGGCUGCUGGUGAGUGGUUUACAGCUCGAGUUUCAGCCUGUGGGCUGUUUCAUAUUGCUUAUCCAAGUGCCCCUGAGAUGUUGAAAACAUAAUUACGGUCAAUGUACUGCCAAUUGUGUCAAGAUGACAUGCCAACGGUAAGAAGGUCUGCUGCAUCAAAUCUGGGGAAAUUUGCCGCAACAGUUGAAAAUGCUCAUUUGAAGGCUGAGAUCAUGCAGAUAUUUAAUAAUCUUACACAAGAUGGUAAGUGGAAGGGUUAAGACAUGCUUGAUUGAAAAAACCUCUCUACUUGUUUUUUUCUUGGUUCUAGUAAAAGAAUUAGUAGCUGAAAUGAUUUUAUUUGAAUAUGAGUUCUCACAAGAAACUUCUUGUUUUAAAUUGUAUGUCAGAUCAGGAUUCAGUUCUGUUAUUGGCUGUUGAGGGAUGUGCCGCUCGUGGAAAGUUGUUAGAACCCCAGGAUUGUGUUGCACACAUUCUCCCUGUAAUUGUCAAUUUCUCCCAGGUAUAUCCAUAGAUGCUUCUCCUGUUUACAUUUAAUAUUGUGUGAAUUUUACAAAUUAUUUCUUAUCUUCUUUUCAGCAGUCUUGCCAGGCAUCUUACGAAAAAUGGAACUGUUCAUAGCCUCAUGUUAGUUGUUGGCAUGUGUCACUAAAACUCUGUAGCAAGUUUUUAGUGAUUUUUCUAGUGAAUAACUUUCUAAUGUUUCAUGAUCCAUGGAGUAUCAUGUUGAAACCACAUAAAGUUAGGGUUUCAUAAUGUGGAGGUUGAAGUUUAAAAGUUGGUCUUUAAAUUGUGAGAGGAAGACUUUAUUUUGUUGCAUUAGUAAUAUCUGUCAUAUACUGCGGAUUUGACCUAUUUCAUGCUUUAACUAAAAUUUUUUAAUUUAGGUGUGGGGUGAGAAUGCUAUUGAGUGACCUGAGUAUUCCGUUGCAUAUAAAUAAUUCUGUAGUGAGUUCAGGCAUCUUUAGCAGGAAAACAGCUUCUUCUUUUUUUUUUCUUUUAAUUCCACAUGUGCUUAUAUUUGUUCGAUUUUGUGUAAUUAACAGGAUAAAUCUUGGCGUGUGCGUUAUAUGGUUGCAAAUCAAUUAUAUGAACUUUGUGAAGCUGUAGGACCACAGCCGACUAGGUAUUUAUGUACUGCAAAGCUUCUGAUAAAAUAUGCUAAUGCUAUAUGAGGAAAAUUUCCUCUUUAUCAAUGAUAUGUAUCACUAUCUUACACAGUUACAUGGUCAAUUGUUUUCAGCUUGUUGUGUGUGGGCCAGAAAUUGUAUUUCUUUGAUUAUUUGUCAUACUAUCCUAAGGUGGUUUAUGUUUUACUUUUUACAUAUGUUGAUUGUGCUUUCAGGAUGGACUUGGUGCCUGCAUAUGUGCGCUUGCUUCGUGAUAAUGAAGCUGAAGUUCGCAUUGCAGCUGCAGGAAAAAUAACUAAAUUUUCUCAAAUUUUGAGUCCAGAACUUGCAACCCAACACAUUCUUCCUUGUGUUAAGGUACUGAUGUUUAUGUUAAGAAGCUUAUGUUCCUCAAAUGAAAUUUCCUGUUAGAGAAGAAACUGCUGUUUGUUUCAUGUUACAUUAAAUAUUGGUCAUCUUCUUACCUCAAUGCAUUGCAAUACCUUUUUUAGGAGCUGUCGUCGGAUUCUUCGCAACAUGUCCGCUCCGCUUUAGCUUCAGUUAUUAUGGGAAUGGCUCCUGUCCUUGGAAAGGUAAGAACAUAGAGUAAUUCCUUGAUUGGGAAGUACCCUAGGAAAUUCCAGGGUCUGUUUAGUGCUGGUAAUGCAGGACAAACACGUACAAGCUAGAGGUACCAAUAUAAAUUAUCUCCUAUGGGAUUGGACUGAUAGAAGGUCUUUUCAUUCAGUUGUGGUUGUUAUAACAGUUGUCUCAAUGUUCAUGCUGGAUGUAUCAGAAACUGGUUUGAAUUGGGAUUAUUGAAUUUCAUUUGUUGGUCCUUGCAGGAUGCAACUAUCAAGCAGCUUCUUCCAAUAUAUCUCUCUCUUUUGAAGGAUGAAUUCCCUGAUGUGCGUCUUAACAUAAUCAGCAAGCUUGAUCAAGUGAAUCAGGUUAGGUAUAAGUUGGAGCUUCCCUUUGUUUCUAUGUGUGCUGUUCUGCUUAUGUUUUGCAUCCUCGGUUGUUUUUCGUCUGCUCGAGAUUCAGCUUUUAUCCAACUUAAAGCUAUUGAAGCACAAUGGCACCCGGGUCUUCUGAGUGGCUAUUAAUAAUGAAUAAAUUUAAUUUUAGUUACAACUUGUUAAUUGUUAUACAUGCUAUUAUUGCGUUCUACGUGCAAACAUUAUAUUGACAUUAACUGCAUGUUCUCAAGCAGCUUUUUAGGUUUUCUUUUUUCUAUAUAUAAACUGACUCUUUCUCGCAGGUUGUUGGAAUUGAUCUUUUGUCCCAAUCCUUAUUACCAGCCAUUGUUGAGCUUGCUGAGGAUAGACAUUGGAGGGUUCGGCUUCCUAUAAUUGAGUAUAUACCAUUAUUGGCUAGUCAGUUAGGUGUUGGAUUUUUUUAUGAUAAACUUGACACCCUUUGCAUGCAAUGGUUGCAGGAUAAGGUCUGUGUUUUUUUAUCUUGCAUGUGCAAUAGCUAUAAGUUUAAAACAGUUAUUUCUUUAUGUAUUAGUCAUUUUCUUUUUGGCAAUUUUGCUAUAUUUCUGUACUCUCAUGGUUUUAUUAUAUUUUUUUAUUUUCUUAGAACCUUCAUAUAUAUAUAUAUCUAAUGUUUUUCUCUGAGAAGACUGAUACUUUUUGAGGGUGCAUUGACUAAAGACCCGAUAUGAAAAUUUGUAGUUUAUUCACCAUCUAAGGUUUCAUGAAGGGAAAAUAAAUUUUAAAAGAUUUCAAAUGAUUAAACAGUGGAAUUCCUGAUGUUGAUUAGUUUACAAAAUAUCGUUCCUAUCUAAAAUUUUCCAGUUUGAUAUUGCACAAGUAAAAUGGGUGUAAUGCAUCCACAUUUUUUGUUAUGCUUUGUAUCACAUGUUCGUAAAUGAUAUCAGGAAGUACCAAUGCUUUUGGCUUGUGAUUAUUGCUAUUAUUUAGAAGUCUGCAAUCGGCAUUGUAAGUAUUGUUGUAAAUUGACUGGGAACAGAUUUUUUGGCUUCUAUGGGAAAAAACUGGAAAGUCUUUUUUAAUAAGUGAAUGCUUUAUCCACUGUGUUGUUACUAUUAAUUUACCGAUUGCAAAACAAUGAUAUAAUUUUGAUUAAUUUCUAAACUAAGCACUAUUUUUGCAUGGUAUUGUUACAGGUUUACUCUAUUCGAGAUGCAGCUGCUAAUAAUUUGACGCGUCUUGCUGAAGAAUUUGGCCGAGAUUGGGCAAUGGAGCACAUUAUUCCGCAGGUCUGUGCAAUAAUAUUGACAAUUGAUCCUUACCAAGCAAGUAGGAAGUAUUUUCUGAAACUUAUACAGAUGCCUGUGCUAAUCCUUCAGUUUUUUCUUGUAUUAUGAGAAUCCUCAGUGACAACAUAAGACUUUAUGCACUAUAACAUGGUUUUUACAGGAAUUCCCUUCCAUUUCUCAUGUGCUUUGCUUGGUAGAGUAGAUAGAAAAGUAAAAUGAUAGAAAAAUGGAAGAGACAAUGGAAAACAUAAAUUUCUUUCCAUUCUUGGUAGGAAAGAUGCAGAAGUUGGAAGCAAAUAUAAAUUUCUUUCAAUCCAUUACUUUGUAAAGUUUUUAUCUGAAUAUGAUGAAUAAUAUUGUUGAUGUAUAAUACUUAACUCGCAUCUUUUCCCUUUUCUCUCUUAUCCUUUCAAUUUGAAAUAAUGUGAUAUUGUGAAUAAAAGCAGAAUAUUAGUAUCUUUUCCAUUUUCGUUCCGCAGUUUUUUCUAUUACCAAGCGCGUCCUAAAAUCAUUUUCUUUCCACUGUCCAUCAUCUUCCAUCCACCCUUCCACUUUCAUUCUAACAAGCACACGUUGUUCUUUUUCUCUUAAGCCAUGCGUUACCACACUUUGAAGUAGUGAGAUAUGAUGCGAUAGCAUCCAUAUGGAUUUUUGACUCAUUGUUGCAUUCUUUGGCUUGCUAAUAAUUACACAGAGACCUUUUCAUUGUGUUAGUUGCCCCUUUGUUUAAUUUAUAUUUUAAUUGGUUUUUUUGUUUCUUUUGGGCAUCAACAAAGUUGGUUUAUAGUUUUGUUUAACGGGGAAGUUUGGAUGUUAUGUGAACAGGUACUAGAGAUGGCAAACUCUCCACACUAUCUGUACCGGAUGACCAUUCUUCGUUCCAUUUCUAUACUUGCUCCUGUUAUGGGAUCAGAAAUAACAUGUUCUAAACUGCUGCCAGUUGUUGAAAAUGCAUCAAAAGACAGGUUUGUAAACAAAAUCAAUAUGGAAGGUGUAUGUAGCAUUCUGAUAAAGUAUCUGUAAUUGGUGGUCUGCAUUUUGCUUUCUGCAGAGUCGCCAAUAUUAAGUUUAAUGUGGCAAAAGUUUUGCAGUCUCUCGUUCCUAUUGUUUAUAAGUCUGUUAGUAUUCCAAUUUUGAACAUACUUGACCAUCUCUUUCAAUUAGUUCGAGUUCUUCCCUUCCGAUCGCACCUUUCUUUUAUCCUUUUUUAUUGGUUUGUUAUUGUUGGCCAACUGAUUGCUGCAAAUAGGUGGUGGAGAAGACAAUCCAUCCAUGCUUGUUUGAGCUGAGCGAGGACUCAGAUGUGGAUGUUCGUUAUUUUGCUAACCAAGGACUUCAGUCGAUCAAUCAUGCUACGAUAUCCUGUUCGGCCUAAGCCAGAUUUAUUUACCACGUUGCUGGGGGAGCUUUAGAUUUUUGCUUGCUAGGUUUGGUUUUGUCAUUUACUUUCUCCAAUGCUGAUUUUUAGUUGGUUAAAAUAUGCCAUAAAAAUCCCUGUACUCUUAAUAAAUUUGAAAAUUAAUCCUUGUACUUUUAUUUCUAACAAUUUAGUCUUUCUACUUUUUAGAUUUCAAAAUACAAGUCCAAUUGUUAACACUCAGCACUGUCAAAAUUAUUUUUUUAGUUGCAUGGUUUACAAGUAUCUUUUUUUAAUUUCAAAAUAUCACAUCAAUAAAUUUAACUAAAUUAAUAAUUGGACUUGAAUUUUUAAAUCGAAAAAGUAGAGGAAUUAAAUUCUUAAAAAUAAACGUAUAGAGUCUAAAUUUCAAGUUUAUAAAAAUUACGACAUAUUUUAAUCUUAUCUUGUGCCUGUGGCUGGCUUGUAUUUUUUUUUUGUUCAAACACCUGUGGCUGUCUUGUAGAAAGUUACUUUUGGCUACUGAAAAUUUGCGAGACUCACAUCCCAAAUUAAUCUUUCUAAUUUGUGAUUUUUGGUUGAGCUCAUGAUUGAUUAAUGUAAAUAGAAAUAUGACUAUAUUUUGGUAGUUCAAUGGUUUCUGAAUUUGAGACCUCUAAAAACAGUUAAUAAUUGAAACAUUCCUGUUGGAAAAAUAUUUGGACUUUAAAUUUUAUGAGUUUAACGCAUGUAUGUCAUAUGCUAUGAAGUAUAAUAAGGGAUACAAUUAUAUUUACGUGAUAAAUUUACCCACUUAAAUUAAGAAUUGAUCGAUUAAUUUAACAUAAAAUUGGACCGUUCAUUGAGUUUAAUUUCCUAAUUCUUUUUCCAGUAAAUCCAUGUCUAAAUGACUUUUUUUUUCAAUAAAAGCGAAAAGCUAAAAAAAUUUCCAAGGGGUCAUUUUAUUUUUGAAAUAUUGCUUCAAGCUUACUAAAAUGACCUUCAUAACAUAAGACAAGUCUAAAAUCAUAUUCUACGCAUGUUACUUUGUUUGAUAAAAGUGUUUAACAAAUAAUAUUUGAAAAUUCAUUUCCGUGCUUAAUAAAAUAAAAAAAAUCAAUAAUAACUUAGAAUUUUUAACUCUCAUUUCAUUAUAAACUAUAAAUUACUAACCUUUUUUGAUGAAUUAAAAAUUAUUAAACACACUACUGAAAUAAAUUAUUUCAAUUUUUUAUAACAUGAUAAAUUGAUUAUUUAUUAACCGGGCUGUGAUCAAUUGGGCCUUGGGUUUUAGUAGGGCACAAUGUUAAAACGACAAAGUUUGCAAGGGCGGAACGCAUUUGGUAAAUUAGAUCACGUGAUGUGGUAGGUAAUGCUUAAAGAAUUAGGAUGAUUUUAUAAUCUAACAAGUUAUAGUCAAGGCAAGGAAGGAGAGAGACUCUUUCUCUUGUUCAUCACCAAUAAAUUUCUUUCUUUUAUAAAAAAAAAUACAUUCAAAAUUAUAAAUAAAUUAAUACCUCUUCUUCUCUUUUUCUAACAUGAAAAUUAUUUAUUAAAAUAAUCAUUUUAUAAAUAAAAUAGCUAUUUUUUUAAAAACAAAAUCGUUUAAAUCAAAUUUAAAAUUUUCCUUAUUUUUAGUUUCAUUUUAUAAAUUAUAAUUUAUUCAUUAUACGUCUGUCAUCUUUCUUUAGUCCUCAACAAAUUUGUCGAGCCUUGCGAUCGCCUAUGCCCACAACCACCGACACCAAUACCAUUACUCUGAACCCCUAAUUAUGCUUGCCCUCAAGUACAAUCUCAAACGCAACAAGUUCAUUCUGGACAGCAAUCUAAAAAAAUUGAUUCUUACCUUUUUCUACCUCAACAUGUAAUUUUUUAUCCAACUUGACCAUGGUGGUCUUCAUGUGUUUUUCCUUAAAUAAUUUUAUUUUAAUAAAUAAUAUCACAUUAGAAAAUGAGAAAAUAGACAUUAAUUUACUUAUAAAUAUUUAUAGAAUUUUGUAUAUAUUUUUAUAAAAUAUUAUGUAUUUUCAUAAAAAUGAACGUUUAAAUAAUUUAUUUUUAUUUUUUUGAAUUUUAAAAUUUUAAGAAUCAAUGCUAGAUUGACAUAAUGUGUAAAGUUGAGAAUUAAAUUUGUUGAGUUUUUUAGAUUUAGAACCAAAUUGAUAGAAUCUAUAAAUAUUGGUAGGCUAACUUAAGUUUAAUCAAGACUUUAUAUAGGGAGAUCCUAGAGAGUUCAACUAUGAUUAAACUUAAUCACUUAAACAUUAAAUUAAUAUAAUAUUUAUCAAAAUAAAUAUUAAAUUAAAUUUAACAUUAAAUCUUAUUAAAUUAAUAAAAUAUUUAUCUACAAGAUAAACAUUAAAUUAAAUUAAAUAUUAAGAUAAGUAUUAAAUUAAAUUUAAUAUUAAAUAUAUCAAAAUAAUAUUAUUUUUGGAAUAGCUAAUCUAAAAUCAAAUUUUCUAGUAGAAUUCCAGUACGAGUGUAAUUCUUCCACUGCUCAACCAUUGAAGACCCCCUGCCAUCGACCAUUUUUCGGCCACUAUAAUGCCACCGUUGCAACCGCCGACAUCCCGAGCUGGUUCAAUUUCUGCCUAUCCGAUUCGGGCCAGUGAUAGCUCGACCGAUCCGGUCCAACCGGUCGGCCCGGUUUCACAUACCAAGUCUAAUUCGACCAGUUUUGGGUCUUGGUCUUGGAUUUGGGCUUUUAAGCCCAAGUUACGAUCUUAGAUCCAAUUUUCAAGUUCAAUUACCCAUUAGACCGAUUAUUUGUCUUGAAAAUUAAUUUCUAAAAAUAUCAUAUUAAUUUUAAUUAAUUUAAUUUUACUUGAUCAAAAUUAAUUUUCUCAAAAAUCACUUAGAUUUUUAAAAUUAAUUUUUCAAGAAAAUUCUUUAAUCAAAUUCUCUAGUUGAACAAUUCUUAUGACCGCCCAAUUUAAUUUCACAUCAAAUAAAUCGACUCAAUUAAAUUAUUUCCACAGAUGUAGAAGUUUCUUUUGAUUCAAAAGCAAUCUGAUCGAGCUUUUGUUGAGCUAGUGGAGGGACAAACCAGACAUAUACAAUUAAGCUCUAAUAAUUGCAAUUAUAUCCAGAAGCAUCGUUUCGAUAAUUCCCAAUUACUUAAUCAUGGAGUCAGUCUACAAGAAGUAACAUGAUUGAAAACUCCUUAUUGUAUACUCUUUACGAAAGCAAUUCAUCCAACUACUUUGUCCAAUGACCUCGUCAUGUGUGUGUUACCCUCAUAUGAUAUCCUUGAUUCCUUUGAGUUAAAUCCGUUCACUCAAUACAGUCUUAUUUUAUCUCAUUGUUACCAUUGUGUCUUCUUAAUGAUUAAUAUAAUCACUGUUAACAAAUGACUAUGAUAAAUGGCUCGUUUAAGAAUAAGCAACCCGUGGUCACAUUCCAUAUUUAUCAAUCCACACAAUGCCAAUGAGAGGAUCGUUAACUUUUUAAUUGAGUUAUGAAUUCCACUGUUGCUAGUAAAGUCAUGCCAUACACAAGUCAUGUACCCAACAUACCGGCUAUCGGCUCAAUCAUCUCUAGAAUAUAAGCCUCCACUUUUAUCAAAGUACAUGAGUUACAUACGCAUGAUCAGUGACUAACUCAGGAUUUAUGUAAAUCACACCAUGAAUGUCACAAGUGAAUUAAUUCACAAACGAAUUCAGAAUUAAUUCAUCUUGGGUUCAAUCCAAUGUAUAGUUUUGUCAAUGAAUACAUCUAUGUCUCUACCCAUGGAGUCAAUUGCUCUGAUAGCCAAGACUAGCCAUCUCCUCAAUUGGAAUUGUGGACGAAAUAAUAAUCAUUCCCAGCAUUUGAAUCAAAUGCUCACUUUGAUUCUUUUAUAGGAUUACAGACUCGUUAGAUUAUCUACUGAAGUAAGUUGUUUUUCUUGCAAUGUAAACGUUCUUACAAUGCUACUUACCAUUUUUUUGAACUUAGACAAUCAAUGAGCUAAUAUUUGUUUGUUACAAUUUCGCUAUGUAUGCAAAAUAUGAAAGAUAGAAAUACAAAAGAUAUAACAGUGAAAUGUGAAAUUAACUUUGUUUAUUUAUUCAUCGUUCAAAUACAUAGAAAACAAUUACAUGUUUACUACAAUAUGGACACAUUUCCCAACAGUUUGCCUCUUUAAAUUUUUUAAAAGUACCUAGUUGGUACUUGAACUUGUAUUUUGUGAAAAAUAAAAUAAAAUAAAAAUAAAAUAAAGAACACACAAAUUUUACGUGGAAACCUUUUCGGGAAAAAACCACGGGUAGAGGAGAAGAAAAUUCACUAUGUCGAAAAUUUGAAUGAAUACAAGAGGAAUAGACUAUGUCUAUUUAUAGGCUUGUAAAGCCAUAUUCUAGUGGGAUUGAAACACCUUAUCCUAAUCAAUAUAAAAUAGAUGGAGUUUAAUAAGGUUUAAAAAACCUUAUUCUAAAAUAAAAUAAAAGAAGUCUUGUUCUAUAUGGAUUUUACUUUUAUUUUAUUUUCCAUUGUAUUUUAUUUAAAUAAGAAUUCGGGUCACUUAAUUCUAACAAUCUCCACUUUGACACAAAUUCUCAAUGAAUAAGUUCUUCAUCGCGAACUUUUAAUGAACAAGUUCUCCACCUUUUCCAUAAAACCCCUAAAGGGUUUAACUUCAACAAUGAACACCAACCAAGUCUAAGUAAUGCUCAAACUUGGUUAUAGGAAGUGACUUAGUCAUCAUAUCUGCAGGAUUUUCAUGAGUACUAAUUUUGCUCAAACAAUAUCACCACGAGCAAUAAUAUCACGAACAAAAUGAUACCGAAUAUCAAUAUAUUUUGUUCUCUCAUGAAAUGUUUGAUCUUUUGUAAGGAAGAUGGCACUCUGACUGUCACAAAAUAUUGUACUGAUUUGAAGGUCUUCAUUGAGUUCACUAAAUAGUCCCUUUAACCAAAUAGCUUCUUUACAAGUCUCAGUAAUCGCCAUGUACUCAGCUUCAGUGGUAGACAAAGCGACUGUAGUUUACAAAGUGGCUUUCCAACUAAUUGCACAACCUCCGAUUGUAAAGAUGUAACCUGUGAGAGAUCUUCUUCUAUCAAGGUCUCCAGCAAAAUCAGCAUCAACAUACCCUAUGACUCCAUCUUUAGUUCUUCCAAACAGUAAGCAAACAUCAGUAGUGCCUCGUAAGUAUCUUAAAAUCCACUGAACUGCUUUCUAAUGUUCUUUACCGGGAUUUGCCAUGUAUCUGCUAACUGCACUGACUGCAUAUGAUAAAUCUGGACGUGAACAAACCAUAGCAUACAUGAGAGAUCCCACUGUACUAGAGUAUGGAACAUGUGACAUGCACUCAAUCUCAUCAUCUGAUUGUGGAGACAAAGCCGAUGAAAGUCUGAAAUGGGCUGCUAAAGGAGUGCUAACAGGCUUAGCACUCUGCAUAUUGAACCUGCAAAGAACUUUCUCAAUGUACCCCUUCUGACUUAGGUACAAUUUACUUGCUUUUCUAUUUCUAAGAAUCUCUAUACUAAGUAUCUUCUUUGCUGGUCCUAAAUCUUUCAUCUUAAAUUCUCCACUUAGUUGGGUUUUAACCUUUCUUAUCUCUCCUUUAUCUUUUGCUGCUAUUAACAUGUCAUCAACAUAAAGAAGUAGAUACACAAAAGAACCAUCACUAUUUUUCUUAAAGUAAACACAACUGUCUAAACUACUUCUUUUGAAAUCAUGAGAAGUCAUAAAGGAAUCAAACCUCUUGUACCACUGUCUUGGUGACUGUUUCAAACCGUAAAAUGACUUUCUCAGCAAGCAAACAUAGUCCUCUUUUUCUGAGACUAUAAAACCCUCUGGUUGUUGCAUGUAAAUAUCCUCUUCAAGUUCUCCAUGCAAAAAUGCAGUUUUUACAUCUAACUGCUCAAGCUCCAAAUCAUGCAUGGCCACAAUACCAAGUAAAGCUCGAAUCGAACUAUGCUUAACAACUGGAGAUCAAAUACGGUGAGCCUUAACCCCCUAAGCAGUAGGGAAAUAGGCUAGAAAUCACAGAUCUUAUCUCCCUAAGCAGUAGUGGAGUAGAUCAAAUACGGUGAGCCUUAACCCCCUAAGCAGUAGGGCAACAGGCUAGAAAUUACAGAUCUUAUCUCCCUAAGCAGUAGUGGAGCAGAUCGAAGACGGUGAGCCUUAACCGCCUAAGUACUAGGGAAACAGGCUAGAAAUCACAGAUCUUAUCUCUCUAAGCAGUAGUGAAGUAGAUCAAAUACGGUGAGCCUUAACCCCUUAAGCAGUAGAGCAACAGGCUAGAAAUUACAGAUCUUAUCUCCCUAAGCAGUAGUGGAGCAAAUUGAAGACGGUGAACCUUAACCCCCUAAGCAGUAGGGAAACAGGCUGAAAAUUACAGAUCUUAUCUCCCUAAGUAGUAGUGGAGUAGAUCAAAUACGGUGAGCUUUAACCCCCUAAGCAGUAGGGCAACAUGCUGAAAAUUAUAGAUUUUAUCUCCUUAAGCAGUAGUGGAGCAGAUCGAAUACAGUGAGCCUUAACCCCCAAGCAGUAGGGAAACAGGCUAGAAAUCACAGAUCUUAUCUCCCUAAAUAGUAGUGGAGUAGAUCAAAUACGGUGAGCCUUAACCCCCUAAGCAGUAGGGCAACAGGCUGGAAAUUACAAAUCUUAUCUCCCUAAGCAGUAGUGGAGCAGAUCGAAGACGGUGAGCCUUAACCCUCUAAGCAGUAGGGCAACAGGCUAAAAAUUACAGAUUUUAUCUCCCUAAGCAAUAGUGGAGCAGAUCGAAUAUGGUGAACCUGAACCCCCUAAGCAGUAAGGAAAUAGGCUGGAAAUUACAGAUCUUAUCUCCCUAAGCAGUGGUGGAGCAGAUCGAAGACGGUGAGCCUUAUCCCCCUAAGCAGUAGGGAAAUAGGCUAGAAAUUACAAAUCUUAUCUCCCUAAGUAGUAAUGGAGCAGAUCAAGGACAGUAAGUCUUAUCUUCCUGAGCAGCGGUGGAGCAGGCUGAAGAUUACAAAUCAUAUCUCUCUAAGCAGUAGCAGAGCAAAUUAAAACGAAAAUCCCUAUACCCCUAGAGAUGCAGUGGGUUAAAGCGAGGCUACUUGAAAAAGAGAGGCCAAAAGAAGUCAAGACUCAGUGAGACCGGGCAAAAUUGGCCUUUUAAAAGUCUUUGCUCCUUUCUCGUUACACGACAACAAGCAAAGAGGGGUAGCUGUAAGGCCCAAUUUCUACCUGGGCCUAAUCAAAACAGCCCAAAGCAGAAAGCCCAAUUUUCUUAGACCUAGCCCACAACCAUUUUCAGCACCACCAUGCACCCACGUUCUCCACCACUCCUCCACGCUAGCACACCCACGAACGGUUUCUCUCCACACUAUACACACCUGCAAAAUAGAUUAACAACUCACAAAAGUUGACAAUAGAAAGAAAUGACAACAAGGAAUUUGUAUUUUCUUUUUUUAUUUUUUCGGCUAUAAAACCGAAUAGAAUCAAAUGUAUAUGGGGGGUCAUUUAUUUUUUUAUGAAUACAAUAGCAAAGGGAAUACAUUUGAAUAGAAAUCGAUCAAAAAAGAAAAGAAAAAAAUUCAAAAAGGUGAUUCUCAAGUUUUUUUCUUUCGAUUUUUUUCCUCUUCUUGCAUCUUUGUUUCUUUCUUUGCAUGUAAAAACAAAAAGUGAGGGAUAUACCUUCAUAAGUGCGCUGUCGGAGCCUUUUCUUCUUCGUUGCAAUUGAAGCAAAGAAGUGUCUUCAGGGUGGAAAUUAUUGAGGCUUCUGAGCUUGGUUUUAAGGGAAAAAGGAGAGGCCAAAUGAGGGAUAAAAGAAUGGAGGGUUAGGGAUUUGUGUUGAUCUUUGUAGAAAAUGGCAGAUUGCCAUUCAAAUUUUUCCCCCUUUUAGUUUUAAUAAUUAAUGAAACGGUGCCGCUUAAGAAAGAGAGGAACCGAACGUCACAAACCCCACGAUCUGCGUGAUUCUAUUUUUGGGGUAAAUUGUGAAAAUGGUCCCUCCUCUUUUUUGAUCCUUUCAAAUCGGCACAUGGUUACCUUUUUAAAUUUUUCCCAAAAUAUUAUUUCAAUUACAUUUUGGUAUUUGUUAGAACGGUGCUGUUUUGAUGGUGUGGGAAUAUUCGUAUUGUUUCAAUCACUAUUAUUUUAAUUAGUAUUGUUAUUAUUAUUAGUAGUAUUACUACUAUUAUUAUUAUUAUCAUAUUAUUAAAUUAAUUAGCUAAAUACUUAGUCUUUAUUCGUUUGUUUAUUUACUCAUUAUUUUUAUAUAUAAAUUCGUUUUUUCCCCCAUUUCAUUUGUUUAUUUCAAGUUUUACAUAAUAUUAUUUCCAACCCUUAUACAUAUUAUUUAUUUUAAAUGUACUUAUUGUUUAUUUUGAACUUUUUACUUCAUGUGAUUUAUUUUGCUUUUUUAUAUAUGUUAUACAUUACUUUUUUUGGAUUUUGUCAUAUAUUAUUAUUAUUUUUCUUAAGAAAUCAUUUUGUAUAUUAUUGAUGUUCAGAUUUUUUCCCUCACAUUUCUAUUUUUUUAGCUCAUUUAUUAUCAUUUUCGAAUUGUUUUUACACCCAAUUUCGAUUUACUUUUUUUAUUCGUUGUAUAUGUCUUAAUUUAUUUGUCUUCAAUUAUCAUGUUAGUUAGUAAAUAAUGUAUAUUAGGUGACCAUCACAAAUUGUCUUAUUAGUGCAUUCGAUCUUGUUUAUGUGGCAAUUACAUUCACAUAUCAUGGUUUCAAAGUAAAAUACACCGCUUUAAAAGCAAAGUACUCAAUAUUAUUAUUUAAAAGUUUUCGAAAAUAUGGCAAUAUUUUGUGUUUGAAAAUUCGAGAAAUCGUGACCUAACAUGUUGGGUCUCGAUUUACCGUUUGACCAAAUAGCCAAAUACCCUUUUUAAAUUUCGUUGCGUGUUUUGGAAAUCAUGAGGUGAUCUUAGUUUUUGGAUGCUUAAAAUAUCAUAUCCUAACGUGCUGGAUGUGAUAUUUUAUUUCUUUGGAGUGAGUGAAUCUUAAAACCUAACUCAAAUUGUUCACACAUUUUUAAAAGGGACCGUAUUUUAAUGUUUUUCCCUCAAAUUUUCAAUGAUAGGACAUUAAAUAGUCAAUUGGUACCAAUUUUGGGCGUUACGAGGGUACUCACCCUUUCUCGUGCGUAACUGACUCCCGAACCCUUUUUCUCGAAUUUCGUAGACCUAAAAUUAUUGUUUUAAUAAAUCAAAAUGUUUUAUUAAAAUGAUUAAUCUCAAGAUGAUCCGAUCACACCUCGAAAAAGAUCGGUGGCGACUCUAUACCCCGUUUUAAAAAGUCGAUUCCUGUUUUCCAUUAAAAAUGGUUUCAACAGGGCUAAUUAGAAUUUGAUUAGAAUUAAUAUGCCAAUGUUAUAAAUAUUAGGGUUAUGGUCCCCAAAUUACAUACAUGAUAUCUUUUCUAAUAUUCCAUCAUUAGGAAAGAGUAGAUAAUAGAGAGCACAUAUUCUCUGAAUUUCUUGUGUGCUAUUUUGGAAGAUCAAAUCCCCAAAAUCGGGUAAAACUUCAAGAAAUUCAUAGAUUCAGGUACGCUUCCGCAUCUAGUUUUGUUCUUAAUUUAUUCUUGAUGAUUAGACAUGAUAGAUCCUAGUUUACAGUUCUAAUUCUAUAUUACAUAUUAUUUAAAAUUCUAACAAGUGGUAUCAGAGCUUUGCCAUGUUGAAUCAUUAAGAAUGAAUUGAUUCUUUAUUAAUUUUGGAUUGAUUCGUUUUUCUUUUUUAAUUUUAUGGAUUUGAUAUUUUAAUUAUAUAUUAUAUUUAAUCUUUGAGAUUCUUGAUAAAUAUUUUAGUUUUAAUUCUUUAAAUAAAGUUUUAAGAUUUUAUAAAUAUAAUCUAUUUUAAUAUUUGUAUAUGCUAUUCGAAAGAUGAAGGUUUAUUUAUUUAUUUAUAAUCAAUUGAUAAAAAUUGAUUUAUGAGAUUUCUUUCUCUUCUUUUCACACAAUUAUUUUAUAAAUUUUGGUUAAAGUUAUUAUUAAAUUAAAAUUAUAGACUUACAACUUUUUUGUAAUUGAAGAAUUCUAAUUAGGUUGUAUAAUUGGUUUUGAAAGUUAAUUCACUUGAUAAUCGAAUAAAUGAAUGUUGGUAAGAUAUAUUUUUUUUUCGCACUAUUUGUUUCAAAUUUUCUGUUUGUAGUUGAAUAUAUAUGGAAUCAUCAUCCUUUAUCUUUAUUUAUGAUGGAUUAUAUUCACCAUUGAAUUCAAUUCAUAUAUACAAAUGAUUACUUUUGGUUUCUUUUAUAAUUAUUUUAUGUAAGUUUUAGUCUUUAUGGAAUCUGGCUAAAAUUAAAAUAUUUGGGAUUAAUUUUUUAAAUAUGGUGGCUAUGAAUUUUCAUAGGUAGUUGCGCAUAUAAAGACCUUUAUAUAAUUUGAGAUUUUUUUUAUAUUUUGUGGUUAUAGAAUUUUUUUUCGUAUUUGUGCGUAUAAAGAAGUUUUAUGAUAAUGUCUUUAGUCAUGAAUAUAAAUUUGAGUUUACAUGAAAUAUGUAAGCCAAGUUAGUAUUAUUUUUAUAUUUGUGUGUAUAUAUAUAUUAUAUGCAUAUCAAUGAUUUUAAUGAUUAAUGUAUGAUUAUAGUUUGUGUGAACAUGUGUUUAUAACCAUUAUUCAAUAAGAUAUCUUUUAUAGUUUAAUUGGUGAAAUUAAGUUUUGAUGGAUAUCAUUGAAGUUAAUUUUUUUUUUGUUAUGGCUAUAUAUUCAAUUUUAUGGGUACUUUGGUGCAAAUUCAUGUCAACUAUAUACAUAUUUAAAUAUUUUGGUUUUAAAUUUGGUUAUAUAAUCUUAGGUUUUGGCAUCUUAUGGUUCCAAAUAUUUGGUUUAAUUAUGAUGAUAUGGUUUAUUGUAUGAAUUGUGGGAUAUGCCAACUAUUAUGAUUUUGUUUUUUGAGAUUUAUUGGCUUGAAAAUAUUUUUCAAGUAUUUAUGUGAAUAUCUGUUUAAUCAUAAAUACAACUUUGGAUUUACAUGAUAAAUUCAUGGUAAGUUUUUCUAUUUGAUUAUGAAUACAUGUAUAUGCGUGAAUUACUUUGGUGUUUUUAUCCAUGCCAAAAUUACGAAUACAUGUGCUUGUUAAUUAUUUGGCUUUGAACCACUAUAUUAUUUCUGUUUGGUUUUGAUAUAUAUGAUUUUGGAACAAAAAAAAGAAAGAAGAAAUAGUCAAAAAAUGAAGGUUUUCGAUUUUUUAUUGCAUUAUUAAGACGACCUUAUUUUGGAUUAUUUUAGAGUUUAUAAAGUAAUAAAAAAAAUAGUUUUGACAUUUGACUUUUGGAGAAAUUUAAAUUUGAAUGUUGGUAUAUUUAUAUAUAUAUUUUAAAAUAACUUAAUUGAAGCAAAAAGUCACCAAAGUGAUUUUUUUCUAUAAACUAUUUUGUUUUAAAAUAUAAAAGUUUGCGUGCAUGUAACUUAAGUUAUAUUAAUAUUGAUUGGCCCAAAUGAAGGUUAAUAAUAUUACAUGUGCAACUAUGGUGAUAAAUAUGUGAUGGUUAUUCGGUUUUACAUGUGAGUAAUAAAUUAGCCCAAAGGAAGAUUUAUUAUUCGACAUGUUCUUAUUGUCAAUAUUUGAUUACUCCACCAAGAUAUCACUUACAAGUUAAUAUUUUGUCCAAAGAUGAAAUAUUAAUGGAGUAUCCGAUAUCUUGAUAUGAAGUUUUCAUUUAUUCAAAUUAUUUUAGUUUAAAUUUAAAGUCUUAUGUGAUGUUAUUUUGAUUUAUUCAGCUAUUAUUAUAUUUGCCAACAUCACUGUAUGUUGUUUUGGGAUAAAUAUAUAUAAAUAUAUAUUAUUAUCUUUUAAUUUGGUUGAAAGAUGAAAUUAAGAUAAAUAUUUUGAAACAAAUAAAUUCAGAUUUUGGCUUUUAAUUAAGGAUGUCUAAUAUUUUAAAUAAAUUAGUUGAAACAAAAUGCCGCCAAAGUGACCUCUUUUGUGUAGAUUAGUUUAUUUGAAAUAUUAAGAUGAUUAUAUGUUUUUGUGAUUCAUGCAUUUAUUAAUUGAUUCCAAAGGUAAGUUAAUAUUUGGCAGAAUUACAACGACAUCUGUAGUGAUAAAUGUGUGGCAAUUAUAAGGUAUUUUAUGAGUAAUAAGUUAGUCCAAAGAUUAAUUCAUUGUUUGACAUAUUUUAUUGUCAAUGUUUGAUUACUACAACAAGAGUUCCGCUUACUGUUAAUAUUACUGUCCAAAGACUUGAUAUUAAUGUUGUGUUUGGUAUCUUGAGACGGGAUUAGCCAUUAUCCUGAAUUUAUUGUUUACUUAUAAAUAUUGAUGUAAGCUUUUUAUUUAUUUUUUGUUCUAUAUUCAGCUAAUUCAUAAUCUACUGCCACAAUAUCUGCUAAUAUAAAUUCUAUACCCAUGCUUAAGGGGACUAAUUUUAAGGAAUGGAAAAGGCACUUACUUAUAGUGCUUGGUUGUAUGGACAUAGACCUUGCACUAAGGGAAAAACAACUUGCACAUCUCACUGCGGAAAACACCCCUUAUAUUAAGAGAGAUUUUGAGAGGUGGGAUCCGUUCAAAUUACAUUAGUCUAAUGAUCAUGAAGCACAACAUUUUAGAAGCCUUUAGGGGUAUAGAAUCUGAAAAGAUUACUUAGGCCAAGGUAUCCUUGACGAAAUUGAAAAACGUUUUGCUAAAAACGAUAAAGUUAAAAUGACAUCAUUUCUAACUUCUUUGAUGUCUUUAAAGUAUAAGGGUCAAGGAAAUACUGAGUGAUCUAAGGGCUAUGAAUUUUAUGAUCCCACAAUUAAGAAUAUUUUUGAGACGAGAAUUGCAACAUUCUUUUAGGAUGUUGAGUUUGGAGGGAGAAAUAAGGUUAGAGACAUUGUUUUUAAGGAGGAAUUGAACUUUAACUCAGUUCCUACUAUCACUUUUGAUGAUGUUUAGGUUCUCAUACCUAUCAUUGAUUAAGAAGUGAAUCUAGAACCUCAAUAAGACAAUGUUAAACAACUCCCUAUUCAAGAUGAGGUAAUUAUUCUAGAAGAACAAACUCAACAACCUCAAGAAUAAAUGUUAUUAAAAAUGUCCACUAGGGAAAGGGUUAUAAUGGCUUUAGUGGAAUAUUUUGGCAUUAAGCUACAUCAGAUGAAUAUUAAGUUAAUGGUUUCUCAAUGGUAACAUUGAUCAUACAUUUAUAUGGUGCAAUUAAAAAACUUUGUGUCUGAUGAUGUAAAGGUAAUGAUUUGCAGAUUAAAGAACUUCAUCUAUGGGUUUUAGUAGACUUCUCGUCAAUAAUAUUACAAAAUUUACGAAAUGAUUAUCUCAUUCGAUUUAGAGAUGAAUUUUUUUGAUAAUCGUAUAUACUAUAAGUUUAGUGGGAGUAAGGUUCUAUAUUUGAUUUUAUAUGUUAAUGGCAUACAGCUUGUCAAUAAUAAGUAUAGCUUCAAUCAAUGCCCUAAGAAUGAUUUUGAGAUUACAAAAAUGCAUAAGAUUUUUUACAUUUUAGCAAUGGAAAAUCUAGUGUACAUUCAAGUUUAUAUACAUUGGAAUAUUGUGUAUAUUAUUGGGAUGUUAGACAGAUAUUUUAAGCAACCCUGGUUUGGACCAUUGGAUAGCAUCCAAAAGGGUUAUAAGGUAUUUUUAGAGAACAAAAGAUUACAGGCUCACAUAUCGGAGAUCUAAUUAGUUAGAGAUCAUCAGGUAUAUAAACUCCGAUUUUGAUGGAAUAUGGAUACAAGAUUUUGUCACUAAGGUGCAAAUUGUGAAAACAAAUUGCAAUCUUUUAUUCCAAUAGCAACAGGAGCACAUUAAAGUCAAAACAUAUAGACUUUAAGUUCCUGGUUGUUAAAGUAAAAGUUCAGAGUGGUUAGGUGCUUAUAAAAUAUAUUACGACAAACUCCAUGAUUGCGGAUCCGCUUACUAAAGAACUACACCUAAGGUUUUAUAAGAGCAUAUUGCUCAUAUGGGUGUAAUGUCAUUUAAAAGAUAUUUGGUUUUAGUAGGAGUUUGUAUUUUUAAAUGCUUUUCUGUUAUAGACACAUUUUCAGUUAUUUCAGUUUAAAGAUAAUAAGUUUAUUUUCUGCAGAAAUAAAGUUUAUUUGGUUUAUUCACACUCUGAUUUUGGUAAGGUUUGAUCUCACUAAAGAGGACCAGUUGGAAAUAGACAUGUUUAGAUUAUAUUGCAUGUAAUUUCCAUGCUACACAUCCAUACUUGAUCUAUGUCAUUUGGUUGUGUUAAUAUACGUGAUCAUGGAUGGAUUUAGUUAUGAUAUAUGUAACGAAAGUCGCAUUGGUUCUAUGUUAACAUAAUUAAUGGACGAGAUUGUUCGGAAUACCUUUUGGAUAUGAUCGUAAAAUUUUGAGCUCAUAAGGUUAUAUAAUGACAUGUAAUUAUAGAGUAAUUAGUAUAUAUAUGUGGUCCAAGUGGGAGAUUGUUGGAAAAUAUAGACAUCACAUAUAUAAUAAGGGUAAUUACAUGUUAUUAUUUACUAUCAUGAUAGGUUAGCCCAAAUUAAAAGUGAUCUAAUUUGGUUAAAAUUUUAUUGGGCUUUAACUAUUAAAUAAAGUAUAGGUCAAAUAUGUGUAGAUACUUUAGUAAUUGAGUUCUAAUCAAAUUCUAAUUAAUGAUGGGCUAAUUAGAAUUUGAUCAGAAUCAAUAUGCCAAGAUUAUAAAUAUUAGGGUUAUGGUCCUCAAAUUACACACAAGAUAUCUUUUCUAAUAUCCUAUCAUUAGGAAAGAGAGAGCAGAUAUUCUUUGAAUUUCUUGUGUGCUAAUUUGGAAGAUCAAAUCCCCAAGAUCGGGUAAAACUUCAAGAAAUUCAUGGAUUCAAGUAUGUUUCCGCAUCUAGUUUUGUUCUUGAUUUAUUCUUGAUGAUUAGACAUGAUAGAUCCUGGUUUACAGUUCUAAUUUUAUAUUAGAUAUUAUUUAAAAUUCUAACAUUUCAGGCUUUAUUUAUGCUUGUUUUAGUCCUUCCAUAGCUGAAGCUUGAAACUUUUGCCAUUAGGGAGGGCCUUGUCAUGGUUAAAAUCUUUUGCCUUCAAUAAUGUUAUAGUUGAGUUGGAUUGCCUGCUUGUAAUUUUGGAUUUUUCAUGCCUAUCAUCUAAUUUUUCUGAACUAGGUGUGUUGUUACGUGUUUGUUUACUGAUGAAGAAUAAGUUUCAACACAUGUCCUUUUGUUGAACUUAUUGAUGUGCCAACAAGACGGUUCAUUCCUUAGCUUGAGCGACAUUAUUAUAUGCAAACCACAUAGAAUGGGAUGGCUUUCCCACUAUUUCUUUUAAAGGAAAUUUUUUGUCUGUAAUUGAAGAUAGCUUGGUUGGGAAGUACGAAUAAUAGGUUCAAGUGUGUAGCGUGAGCCUGCUGGCUCGAGUUUUAAUAAAGUAUCACACACAUAAUUUUUGUUCUUAAGUUCAUUUAAUUCAUACAAAAUUCCUUUGAUUCUUUUAAUUUUCACCAAAACUAAAUUUGUUUAAUUCCAACUAAAUUCAGACAUGGUAAUUAAUGUAACAUGUGCACAUGGUAUAUUAAUAAUUUUUAAAAAUGUUUGAAUUUCUUUCUUUGUACACGCUUCAAAAGAAAAAAAAGAAAAGAUAAGAGCUAAUUCUAUAAUAAGAAAAAAAUUGUAAAAUGUUGAUUUAGAUAAUUUUAUGUUUUAGAAAGUAAAUAAUAAAAUUUUGUAAUAUAACCAAAUGAAAAUAUGAUAAUUUACUAAAUGAUUUUAUAUUAUGAUAUUUUUAUUAUAAGAGUAAUAUUACAUUUGAUAAAUUAAAUGGAUGUGGUUGAAGAUGUGAGUAUGAUUGAAUGUUAGUGAGAGUUAAAAAGCGAAAAUGUAAUCAAAGGGUAAACUGUGGCAGACAUAUCAGCAAAACUUCCAUUCAUCCCCAAUAAAUCACGAGACUAUGUCUGCCUUAGUAAAGUAUCCACAUAAGCCCAAUGAAAGAAUUGCAAUAAGCCCAAUUGGAGCAAUCUUGGUCUAAAACCAAGUUUCAUUGCCAGUUGUAUUAUUAUGGUAAUGUAAUGUACCAAAUAAUUAAAUAGUGCAAGUAGAUAUGAUAAGCUGUACUUUUUUUGAGUGUGGGUAAGGAACUUUAAACAAUUUCUCUUAGCCAUAAAUAUGAAAUUAAAUUAUUUUACAUGUUUAGCCUUUCAUAUCUGUUUGCUUCCAAAAACAACUCAUUCGUAUCUUGGUGAAAAUUGACUGAUCCUAUUGUACCACACGGGUCAUGUAACCAACAAUCAGCCAUCAGCGGUAAGAGAGGACAUGUGACGCGGCGGUGCUACUAGUAAGUCAGUGGGUUGAAUGUGGAUCGGCCAGUAGAAGUGAUUGUGGAAAGAUCCGAGUAGGAUGAAACUUGAAAGUGAUGGCAGGCUUAGGUAAAACAAAGUUGAGCGCAAGAACAAAAGGUUCAAUGGCUUCCUCAAGCCAUGCACGUCAGGACAAUAGAUUAAAGAAAAAUAGCAAGUAUCUGAUUCAGAUCGGAUCAGAUUAUAAAAUUAACAAUCUCACAUGCCUAAUCACUAAAACAAAUCUUCAAAGCUCAAAAAGAAAAGACACAUGAAUUAGUAGAAAAAUUAAGGACUCGACGAUGCACUGUAAGUUGGCAAAUGACAACAGUAAAAUUAAGAUAAAUUAUAAGGAAAAAGAAGAAAGGAUUCAAGCCGCUGACAGCCCUCAAAUCGGUAGCGGCGAAAACAAAUCUUUGUUAUUCCUCAUUGGCCAACAAAUGAAACAAACCAGAAAAGAUUGAUUGGAGAUAGUGUUAUUGUUUUUAAUCUUUCUAAUCAUUUAUUGUAACACUGAAUUUUAUAAAGCAAGAUGAGGCACUUCCUUCAAUGAUGCUAAGCAUGAAGUAGACAAUGAUUUCUGUCAAAACUCAGCUAAUUAUGAAUGCAAAUUGUAUUUAUUGAAAACCAAGUGGGUGGUGACCCGUGGAGCCAGGUGAUAUUGAGCCUCUCUCUUCCUACUCUACGACUCUUUCAUAGUUUCUGUUUUGGAUACUUUGUUUUACAUUCAAUCCUCCUUUCCACUUCGAUCAAAAUCUACCACCUACCUUUCAAUUCUAUCCUCACAGAGACCGAACACUUUCUCACCACUUUAUCUAGAUGUAUGGACUCGUAUGCUCUUCCAACUUGUGGUUCUACCCCUAACUUCAUCUGAUCUGUUAUUCACCUUUUAUCAGGUAUGUUUAAAGAAGUUCAAUUUUAUGAUAAAAUAAAAGAUUUUGUUGGGGAUCUUCUACAUCACUGUUUAUGUAUUUUUGGGGGGGUUGGAUCUGUUGUUGCAGAAAUGUCGGGUAGGUCUUUUUUGCGGGGUACUGAGAGCAAAGAAAGGCUGCUUCCAAGGAAAGGGUAUUCGGAAUUUGGUUUCAACAGCUCGGAUGUUUCCGAGGAUCGAGUUAAAUGCAGGUGUUUUCGAUCAUGUUGUGAUUCGAUUGAUAACUUCUGGAGUGGAUUGCAAGGACUCUUUGUCAAGUUAUAUGAAAUGGGUCGAUCAGAUCCCCGCAAGGUGAUUUUUGCAACGAAAAUGGGGUUUUCGCUAAUGUCUAUAUCAUUGCUUAUGCUUUUCAAAGAGCCUCUAAAGGAAACUAGUCAAUAUUCUAUCUGGGCAAUUCUUACUGUAGUCGUGGUUUUCGAAUUCAGCGUAGGUAUAUGAUCCAAUAUUCAUGAUGCCCCAUUUCUGCUACAAUCCAGACUGCCUGCUAUUUUAGUUCCUUUUAACAAUUUCUAUAUUAUAGGUGCAACACUUAACAAAGGGUUCAAUCGAGCUAUAGGGACUUUCUCUGCUGGAGCCCUUGCUUUAGGCAUUGCACAAGUAUCAACAUUGUCUGGGAAGUAUGAAGAAAUUAUUAUUUUGAUAAGCAUUUUCAUAGCAGGUUGGAGUUCUAGCAGUUAAUACUAUAUAAAUAUUUACAUAUGAGAAUUCUUGGGUAUUGUGUUCAUUCAACUUUAUAAAAUAUAAAAUUUCAUUCUGCUUUAGGAUUUGCUGCUAGCUAUUGCAAAUUGUACCCUCCCUUGAAGACAUAUGAAUAUGGUUUUCGGGUAUUCUUGUUGACAUUUUGUAUUGUACUGGUGUCUGGGAACAACUCAAGAACCUUCUUCAGAACUGCUUUUUACCGGUUGUUGCUUAUCUUCAUUGGUGCUGGCCUGUGUUUGAUUAUAAAUAUAUGUAUAUACCCCAUAUGGUCCGGAGAGGAUUUGCAUAAAUUGGUGGUUAAAAAUUUCAAGAAUGUGGCUUCUUCCUUGGAAGGUUAGCUUUACUUUUCAAGUAGUGCUCUCUGAGUAGUUUCUCAUUGGAAUUCCUUGAUUUACUGUGCUAGAUUGAUCAAUCAUAACCUUGAACUUUCAUUUUUAGGCUGUGUUAAUGGAUAUCUGCAAUGUGUUGAAUAUGAGAGGAUCCCUUCCAAAAUUCUCACUUACCAAGCAUCUGAUGAUCCUUUGUAUAGUGCUUACAGAUCAGUUGUGCAGUCUUCAAGCCAAGAGGAUACUCUGGUAUGUUUCACAUGCCUUCAUCCUGUCUUCCUUUAUCUCCAAGAAUGUAGGAGUUCUUUUCUUUGUUUAAUGUACUUCAUUUUUCCAGCUAGAUUUUGCCUUAUGGGAGCCUCCACACGGUCCUUAUAGAUCAUUCAACUACCCAUGGAGAAACUAUGUCAAAGUAAGUGGUGCAUUGAGACAUUGUGCAUUCAUGGUCAUGGCAAUGCAUGGAUGUAUACUUUCAGAAAUUCAGGUGAGAACACCAUCUCCUUUCAUAUCUUCAAAGAAAUUAUUUAUACCGAAUGCAUGAUUUUAUCAUUAUAUACAUCUAUAAAUCAAAAUCUAUCUGAUCCACUCCUCCUAGACCUCUCUUUUUCCAAAGCAUGAAAAUAGGUUGCCAGACUUUCCUUUCUGCAUCAGUCACUUAUUUACAGGAACCCCUACCCGACAGCUGUAAAGUGCCUAUAUAUCAUAUAAUCAUAUAUGAUAGGUCCUCUCAGGAUCAUGCCUGAUUUUAUAACUUUGUCAAAAAGGAAGACAGCAAGACCCCAUUAUCUUUGGCUGAGCCUAAACAGAAAAGAACACAUUGGCAAUCGUUCCACUUAUGCAAUGAUACAAUGUUCUCUUUAUUUUACUUUUCCUGUUUAUUCCAACACCGGAAUUCAUCAUAUCAUGUAUUCAUGUCUUCAAUAUUAGGUUUCCACUUACGCAAUGACUUUAAGUUGUCUUUAUUUUACUUUUCCUGUUUAUUUCAACUCUGGCAUUUGUAAUUUUUAUGUCUUCAACUUGAUGAUAAGAACCAAAAUUGUAAUGUUAAUAGUAAAAGAAAUAGUUCCUCAAGGCCAUGAAAGAAACCUCUGCUAGAAGUUGACUUGCAUUGCUGAUUUGAUAUUGGCAAAUUUACAUAGCUCGAUAUGUUAGCUGCAUAAUCAGAUUUUAUGAAUUUCUCUACAUGCAGGCACCAGCAGAGAAGAGACACGUGUUUGCUCUUGAGCUGCAGAGGGCUGGUAAUGCAGGAGCUAAAGUGCUACGUGAGCUGGGACAGAAAGUUGAAAAGAUGGAAAAGUUAAGCCCCGGAGACAUACUGAGGGAAGUACACGAGGCAGGAGAGGAUUUGCAAAUGAAGAUAGACGAAAAGUCAUACCUUCUAGUCAAUUCAGAAAGCUGGGCAACUGCACCGCCUCACAGGGAAUUGGAAGAAUCUGGGAGCAUGGCUGAUGUUAAAGACAAUGAGCAUAAAGUGAUAAAAUCCCUGAGCGAUAUGUGGGAAGUUCAGCACACGAUUGAUCCUCGUGCGCCGGACUUAAUUACCUCGGAGAGCAUGCUCCAGAAACCAUCAUGGCCCCGUCUCUCGUUUACUGCAGAAGCAUUGCUACAGCAACAGGAAUCUAAAAUAUAUGAAAGUGCUAGUGCUUUAUCCUUAGCAACGUUCGCAUCACUAUUGAUUGAGUUUGUUGCAA